rnacentral:rRNA from 1 species
UAUUUAUUAGAUAAAAGACCAAUGCCCUUCGGGGCUCCUUGGUGAAUCAUAAUAACUUAACGAAUCGCAUGGCCUUGCGCCGGCGAUGGUUCAUUCAAAUUUCUGCCCUAUCAACUUUCGAUGGKAGGAUAGUGGCCUACCAUGGUAUCAACGGGUAACGGGGAAUUAGGGUUCGACUCCGGAGAGGGAGCCUGAGAAACGGCUACCACAUCCAAGGAAGGCAGCAGGCGCGCAAAUUACCCAAUCCCGACACGGGGAGGUAGUGACAAUAAAUACUGAUACAGGGCUCUUUUGGGUCUUGUAAUUGGAAUGAGUACAAUUUAAAUCCCUUAACGAGGAACAAUUGGAGGGCAAGUCUGGUGCCAGCAACCGCGGUAAUUCCAGCUCCAAUAGCGUAUAUUAAAGUUGUUGCAGUUAAAAAGCUCGUAGUUGAACCUUGGGCCUGGCUGGCCGGUCCGCCUCACCGCGUGUACUGGUCCGGCCGGGCCUUUCCUUCUGGGGAACCUCAUGCCCUUCACUGGGCGUGUUGGGGAACCAGGACUUUUACUUUGAAAAAAUUAGAGUGUUCAAAGCAGG